rnacentral:rRNA from 1 species
CCUACGGGGUGCAGCAGUGGGGAAUAUUGGGCAAUGGGCGCAAGCCUGACCCAGCAACGCCGCGUGAAGGAAGAAGGCUUUCGGGUUGUAAACUUCUUUUCUGAGGGACGAAGAAAGUGACGGUACCUCAGGAAUAAGCCACGGCUAACUACGUGCCAGCAGCCGCGGUAAUACGUAGGUGGCAAGCGUUAUCCGGAUUUAUUGGGUGUAAAGGGCGUGUAGGCGGGAAAGCAAGUCAGAUGUGAAAACUCAGGGCUCAACCCUGAGCCUGCAUUUGAAACUGUUUUUCUUGAAUGCUGGAGAGGCAAUCGGAAUUCCGUGUGUAGCGGUGAAAUGCGUAGAUAUACGGAGGAACACCAGUGGCGAAGGCAGCUUGCUGCAGCGGAACUGACGCUGAUGCUCGAAAGCGCGGGUAUCGAACAGGAUUAGAUACCCUUGUAGUC